rnacentral:rRNA from 1 species
GACGAACGCUGGCGGUGUGCCUAACACAUGCAAGUCGAACGGUAAGGCCCUUUCGGGGGUACACGAGUGGCGAACGGGUGAGUAACACGUGAGUAACCUGCCCUCAUCUCUGGGAUAACAGUCGGAAACGGUUGCUAAUACUGGAUAUGAGCUUGCAAGGCAUCUUGUGGGUUGGAAAGAUUUUUUUGGUUGGGGAUGGACUCGCGGCCUAUCAGCUUGUUGGUGAGGUAGUGGCUCACCAAGGCUUCGACGGGUAGCCGGCCUGAGAGGGCGACCGGCCACAUUGGGACUGGGAUACGGCCCAAACUCCUACGGGAGGCAGCAGUGGGGAAUAUUGCACAAUGGACGGAAGUCUGAUGCAGCAACGCCGCGUGCGGGAUGACGGCCUUCGGGUUGUAAACCGCUUUCAAUUGUGACGAAGCUUUUUGUGACGGUAGCAGUAGAAGAAGCACCGGCUAACUACGUG